CGCUGGCGGCGUGGAUAAGACAUGCAAGUCGAGCGCUAAUUUCAGGGUAGCAAUAUUCUGGAGUUGGAGCGGCGCAAGGGUGCGUAACACGUGGGUAAUCUGCCAUGAAGUUCGGGAUAACUUGCUGAAAGGCGAGCUAAUACCGGAUGUGACAACCGAGAGGCAUCUCUUGGUUGUUAAAGUUGGGGACCGUAAGGCCUGACGCUUCUUGAUGAACCCGCGGCCUAUCAGCUAGUUGGUGAGGUAACGGCUCACCAAGGCUAAGACGGGUAGCUGGUCUGAGAGGACGACCAGCCACACUGGAACUGAGACACGGUCCAGACACCUACGGGUGGCAGCAGUCGAGAAUUUUUCACAAUGGGCGAAAGCCUGAUGGAGCGACGCCGCGUGGGGGAUGAAUGGCUUCGGCCCGUAAACCCCUGUCAUUCGCGAUCAAACCUUAUUAUUUAAAAGAUGAUGAGCUGAUAGUAGCGGAAGAGGAAGGGACGGCUAACUCUGUGCCAGCAGCCGCGGUAAUACAGA
rnacentral:rRNA from 1 species